rnacentral:rRNA from 1 species
AUUGAACGCUGGCGGCAGGCCUAACACAUGCAAGUCGAACGGAGUGGCGGACGGGUGAGUAAUGUCUGGGAAACUGCCCGAUGGAGGGGGAUCACUACUGGAAACGGUAGCUAAUACCGCAUACUAUCAGAUUAACCUAGGUCGGAUUCGCUAGUUGGUGGGGUAAAGGCAUACCAAGGCGACGAGCCGUAACUGGUCUGAGAGGAGGAUCAGUCACAUUGGAACUGAUACACGGUCCAGACUCAUACGGGAGGCAGCAUUGGGGAAUAUUGGACAAUGGGCGAAAGCCGGAUCCAGACAGGCCGCGUGUGUGAAGCAGGUCUUCGGAUUGUAAAGCACUUUAAGUUGGGAGGCGUUACCAACAGAAUAAGCACCGGCUAACUUCGUGCCAGCCGCCGCGGUAAUAC